rnacentral:snoRNA from 1 species
UUGUUGGGUAGGAUAGUCCUUACCUGUUUCUUAUUGUGGAGGGCAGGUCAGAGAGUGACGAUGGGUGCUUGAGUGACAAUGACGGGUAUACCCACCUCUGUGUAACCGGACUGGCAACUGCUGAU